rnacentral:rRNA from 1 species
CCCCUAGAUGUUCUGGGCCGCACGCGCGCUACACUGAACAGUUCAACAAGUCUUAACCUUGGCCGAUAGGUCUGGGUAAUCUUUGAACGCUGUUCGUGAUUGGGAUAGACCUUUGCAAUUAUGGGUCUUCAACGAGGAAUUCCUAGUAAACGCAAGUCAUCAGCUUGCAUUGAUUACGUCCCUGCCCUUUGUACACACCGCCCGUCGCACCUACCGAUUGAAUGGUCCGGUGAAAAUUUCGGAUAGUGGCGAUGCUGGCGGUUCGCCGCCGGCGCUGCCGCUAGAAGAUCUUUAAACCUUAUCAUUUAGAGGAAGGAGAAGUCGUAACA